rnacentral:hammerhead_ribozyme from 1 species
AUUCAGCUGAUGAGCCCCAAAUAGGACGAAACAUGUGUCCUAGAU